AAUAUUGCGCAAUGGAGGGAACUCUGACGCAGCGACGCCGCGUGAGCGAUGAAGGUCUUCGGAUCGUAAAGCUCUGUCCUUGGGGAAGAAGGUCUUCGGACUUGCCGGUACCUAAGGAGGACGCCCCGGCUAACUACGUGCCAGCAGCCGCGGUAAUACGUAGGGGGCAAGCGUUGUCCGGAAUUAUUGGGCGUAAAGGGUGCGAGGGCGGCCUUCUAAGUCAGAAGUGAAAGCCCACGGGUUAACCGGGGGACUGCAUUUGAAACUGGAGGGCUUGAGUAUCGGAGAGGGUAGUGGAAUUCCCAGUGUAGUGGUGGAAUGCGUAGAUAUUGGGAGGAACACCAGUGGCGAAGGCGACUAACUGGACGAAAACUGACGCUGAGGCACGAAAGCUAGGGGAGCAAACA
rnacentral:rRNA from 1 species